UCAUGCACUCACACUGAAAACUGCAUCAAGAUGAUGUUGAUAGCAACUCUGACUCUCGUGUUGGGUUUUCUAAUGCAAGAUUCCUUGGCCAAUAAAUUUCUUACUCAGGCUGAUAAAUCCAAACCUGUCAGUCUUGGUGGGACUGUGACCAUCAGCGCCACAGGAAGUUCAGAUAUUGGUGCUGAUCUCAGUUGGUACCUUCAGAAACCUGGACAGCCUCCCAAACUUCUUAUAUAUCAAGCAUCAACUCGCUCCUCAGGAACUCCGUCUCGAUUCAGUGGCAGUAGAUCUGGUUCUCAGUACACUUUAACCAUCAGUGGGUUUCAGGCUGAAGAUGCUGGAGAUUAUUACUGUAUGGGUGUGCAUACUGGUGGAGUAUGCACUUUUGGUGGAGGAACCAAACUCAUCGUUGGCUCGGGUGUGGUGAGGCCCACCCUCACUGUCCUCCCUCCAUCCAAAGAGGAAGACAAACAGAGUAGUGCCACUGUGGUGUGUUUGGCCACCGGGGGCUUCCCCUCAAACUGGAAUUUGGGCUGGAAGGUGGGGAGCACCAGCACAUCCUCAGGGGUUUCAACCAGCCUGGAGGUCUUGGGGACAGACGGCCGCUACAGCUGGAGCAGCACCCUGAGCCUCUCUGCAGACCAGUGGAGGAAGGCGGGCUCAGUGAGCUGUGAGGCCAGUCUGAGUGGACAGAGUCCCGUCACUCAAACCCUGGACCCUGACCACUGCUCAGAGUAGAGCUUCAGCAACACUUCCUGUCUGCAUAUGAUGUGUUUUAUAUGUUUCUGCUGUUGCGAUAUUUCUGCAAACAUUUGACUUUCUAAUGAUGUGCAUGCUAAGUUUAUCAGCUAAUAUUAUCCAUGUCGACUUUAAAAAAGGGUGUAAUAAAAGUAAAAAUCACAAAAUAAAAUCACAGCUUAAGAAAAAUCA